UACGAAUGGAGCGAGCGUUGUUCGGAAUCAUUGGGCGUAAAGCGUAUGUAGGCGGACAGAAAAGUCAGAAGUGAAAUCCCUGGGCUCAACCCAGGAAUUGCUUUUGAAACUCUCUGUCUAGUAUCCCGGAGGGGUUGACGGAAUUCCGAGUGUAGAGGUGAAAUUCGCAGAUAUUCGGAGGAACACCAGUGGCGUAGGCGGUCAACUGGACGGGUAUAGACGCUGAGAUACGAAAGCGUGGGUAGCAAACAGG
rnacentral:rRNA from 1 species